ACUCCUACGGGAGGAGCAGUGGGGAAUUUUGGACAAUGGGCGAAAGCCUGAUCCACCCAUGCCGCGUGUGUGAAGAAGGUCUUCGGAUUGUAAAGCACUUUAAGUUGGGAGGAAGGGCAGUAAGCUAAUACCUUGCUGUUUUGACGUUACCGACAGAAUAAGCACCGGCUAACUCUGUGCCAGCAGCCGCGGUAAU
rnacentral:rRNA from 1 species